rnacentral:rRNA from 1 species
UACGAGGGGGGCGAGCGUUGUUCGGAAUUAUUGGGCGUAAAGGGUGCGUAGGCGGUUUGGUAAGUCUCUUGUGAAAUCUAUGGGCUCAACUCAUAGUCUGCAAGGGAAACUGCCGGGCUUGAGUGUGGGAGAGGUGAGUGGAAUUUCCGGUGUAGCGGUGAAAUGCGUAGAUAUCAGGAGGAACACCGAUGGCGAAGGCAGGUCUCUGGGCCAUAACUGACGCUGAGAAGCGAAAGCAUGGGGAGCGAACAGG